ACGGAGGGUGCAAGCGUUAUCCGGAUUUAUUGGGUUUAAAGGGUCCGUAGGCGGACCUUUAAGUCAGUGGUGAAAUCUUUCGGCUUAACCGGAAAACUGCCAUUGAAACUGAAGGUCUUGAAUAUGUUUGAAGUGGGCGGAAUAUGGCAUGUAGCGGUGAAAUGCUUAGAUAUGCCAUAGAACACCGAUAGCGAAGGCAGCUCACUAAGCCAUCAUUGACGCUAAUGGACGAAAGCGUGGGGAGCGAACAGG
rnacentral:rRNA from 1 species